AGGGUUAGUUUUAGUUUAUGCUCUGCAGUAAAUCAAUUACUAUGAUAAACACUUUCAGUUACAAUUAUAGUUUUUAUCUGUCUUUUAUAAUAAAUUUUGGUGUAAUUCAGACUUAGAUUCAACUAAUACAAUAUAUUCCGGACUUUACCAUGUGUCAACUCUCUCGGCUCAUUUGCUUCACAUUUUGCAAAAUAUGUUAGUUAGAAUAAAGUAUCAUUGAAAACCAAUUUGGGUAAUUACUCCAACUUUUUUAAUAUCAAUCUUAGUAGAUCCUCAGUUAUCAAUGGUUUCUGCUUCUUCCUGCCAGCAUUGGUUUUCAUUGCUCAACCAAAACUUAAUGCUCUUAAUUGAGCAUAUGUAACAAGAAUGAAGUACAGAUCAUGAUGCCUAAAUUACAAAGAUGGAAUUCUUUGAUCUUUCACAUAAUCAUGUAUAACCUCUUCAUUCUGUGUUCUUGUGCUUUACCCUAUGAAUAUCAAUGGAAGUAAAUACGAGAAUCCAUGGUCAUAUUUUCAAGGACAAAACAAGAUGGACCUUACUUGCCUUUUAGCUCAUAACCACCAUUGCUAUGUCACCUCAUAAAGACAAACAAGGGCCCUUAAUUUGCUUUCUGGCCUGCUGUUCAAAAUUAUUAAAGUUCUAAGCAAACUAUGAUCAGUAAAGUGGUAGUACAACAUUGGAUAAGAUGACCCUUGAUGCUUCUGCUCACCCUUAUGGCAAAGGGAUCGGCGGGCAGUGGCGGCGAUAAAAUUAUCUGCUGCUGUACCAUAUCCAACUAACUUCUCAACAGAGAAACUAUUCUCCCAAAAAAAAUCAAACUUCAAAAUAUACAAGUUGUAUACACUUCCUUGUCACCAUAUUAAACAAGGUAGCUAGACAGAGGAAUCUGGAACAGCUGCCAAGCGAUGUAGGACCAAGCGCUGAUUCAAACAGUAAAUUACUGUCAUUCGCCAGAGUAAAUUGCCAGAAUUGUUGGUUAUACAUUAAUAUGCAACUCAAGGUUGGAGCAGUCUCAACUUUUAGUGCACAACUCAGAUACAUAAUUGCCAGAAAGAACUAAAAGAAAAUGAAGAUCUUCAACUAUAAAAAGUUCUUACUGAUCAAAUUAUUAUAAGAGGCCCAAAAAUACAGUUAUUAUUUACUGAGACAUGGUCCUAAAGAUCAUAAAAAACAAAAGACAUAACCCUUUUUCCAUAUGAAUGCUGACGGGGAUUGUCCUAUAGUUUGGUCCAUGCACUCAAAUAGGUCCUUGUCCUAGUUUGGACUAGAUUCUAAUUCAUUAUAAAACAUGUUAGACACCAAGGUAACCACUUUUUACAAAGCCUCAAAGCCUUUUUUAGGCUUUUGCAUGCCAACUUGUAUAACUAAAUAAUGCAUAUUAUAGGAAGAGUUUCAAGUGUACCAGAAACAUUGGUGUUCCAGUUGUUUUGACCGUUGAUCUGAAUUAUAAAAAAUAUAUAAAAUAUAUAUUAAUUGAAAUCAACGGUUAAAACAACUGGAACAUCGGUAUUCCUGGUACACUUAAAAUUUUUCCCAUAUUAUAUUAGUAUUCUUAUACUCAUAUAUAAUGCAUUAUUUAUUUGAUUUAGAAAGUUAAAUGUUGAAAUUGUAAAUUUGUUUGAAGGUCUUAGAUCUUUUAAUAGACUUUUAGGUCAAUACCUGAUCUUAAAAAUGAUCACUCUAGGCUUUAAAAAAGGCCCUAUAUUAAGCAUAUAGGCAAGGCCUAAGCCAUCUAUUUGAAAUCAAGAGGCCUGUUUAACACAACCUAGCUUAUUUUCACCCCUUGGAUAGAAUUCCCUUUUUUUUUGGGUUCGGUAAUAAAAAGUGAGGUGUAAACAAAAAAAAGAGAGAAAACUAUAAGAAAGAUUGAAGAUAAAAGGAUGCAACCUUUUAAAAACACAUUUACUUUUGCAGGAGAGACCUUGAUUUCAUAAACACUGAAAAGAAAAAGCCAUAUGAAAGAUGGAGAGAGACAAUGCAUCUCUUUAACCAUACAUAAUACAUUACUUUUGGAGGAAGAACCAACUUUUGAUAUCCCCAUAUCAGAGACUCAGAGUAUACUUGAAAAAAAAAACUAAAGUGAUUAAGUGUGAUUUUUUCCCUUACCCCCAGCCCCCCAGCCCCUACCGAAGAAGGAAAAAAACACAAAUGAUGUUUGGUUCUAAUCACCAAGCAACAAGCGAAAAAAAAAAUCAUGUGAACUAACCCGACAGAUGUUGACGGAGUUGUCCACAGUAUUGCAUAAAAGUCAUGCAGAUUCAUUGUAGGCAACCCAAACCUGUUAUCCUACAAAUAAAUGAAAGAAUUAGGAUCCUCGAAUAAAAAAUACACUUUAACAUGCUUAUUCACUAAUU
rnacentral:lncRNA from 1 species